GUUCCUGGGUGGUGCGCCCGGGCACACCGCCGGACCGGAGCUCCGGCCGCGUCGAGGUGCCCGCACCACUUGCCAUGUCCGAAGCGUGCCGGGGGGUA
rnacentral:tRNA from 1 species